UGGUAGGUACCGCACUCUACUGUCUGCACGGCUGAGGUUUUCUUUUGGAUUCUUCUCCAGCUUACGCCUAAGGUUCAGCGCUCGUUGCUCUGCCACCUUUCUAUUGUUGGCCAUCUUCCCGUCCUUGUUCCUCAGUGGCAGAUCAAUGCUGUAAUCUCCUUUUACAAGUGUAGCUGACUCUGAGGCUAUCUCGAGGAAUUGUCGUCCUCUCUGUACAUUUCCAGUUUCUCAUCCUUCUUGUACUCAGGGAAGUCGCCGUGACCUGCUGUCUCCAGAGUUCCUCCAGUCUGGUAACUUGUACCUGGUUCGCUGAAACCUGUAUUAGCCCGCAUGCUGAGCUGUGGCCAACAUUUUCCCCCCACUGGCGAUGAACCGCUGGGGUUCAAUGGCCUUGUGUCCGUUCCUCCCAAUAUGCAGACCUAUCCCUGCAUCUAUUUUUUGUAGUUGUACCUGCUGCAGGUAGGACCGCCCAACCAGUUCCUCCUGUGAUGGAAUGUUAUCUUUGGUUGCAGGAAUUAUUUUCUGGGAAUAUGUAUCUGGGAGCCCCAGGAAAUUGUUUGCGCCUAGGCUACUCACUUCCAAGCCAGAUACUAUUUGAGUAUCGGCCCACCUCCAUUCCUCCUUGGUCUUUACGGUCAGCGGCGAGAUAGGUGUCUUUCUGCCUGUGAUAUUAAGCUCUUUCAUCAGGUCCUCUGUAAAGAAACAAGAGGUACUGCCGGAGUCUAUGAAACCGCAAGUAGUUGUUAUCUAUUGGCUUUUGUUGCUCUUGACUUGGACUGGUACUAUUCCCAAGAUCUUUCCGCUGUUUUUGGUAUUUGUUGCUCUGCAGGUCGUUGGGCCUGAUGGCCCCACGUCGCUUGUGCGCGACUCUCCUUUGAAAUUUACCCCCUGAUUCAUCACCAUGUCCCUUGUUUCUGGCUUUGAUCUGGGACUCGCUGUUUGGUCAAUGACGACAGUUGCGCCAUUGAUAAUGCCUCUCUUGUCAUUGCCUUUCCUUUGCAGCCUCUCGUCCACCGGGCCUCUAGCUUGUCUCCUCAGGCCAGCGUUCCUUCCCUUGCCAUGUAUUGAGUCCACGGCUUUAUCGGCCUUUCUGUCAACAAAGUCCACAAGGUCAUGGAGCUUAACUCUGCGUCUUUCAUAAAUCUUGAUAUUGUGGGCCUCUGUAUGCCACUCUUCCUUCAGCUCGCACGGGAGCUCUGGGCGAUAUCUUGUAUGUUACGCGCGUUGUUAAACGUAUCCAUGAACUCCAUGUUCUUCAUAGCACUACAGCAUACUGAGAGAUAGAGGCCGAAGAACUGGAGACCCUUUCCGUUGUCUGAGUUUAUCACAGGCCAACCUAAUGCCUUUUCCAAAUAAUCGUCUACGAUGUUCAUGGGAUCCCCAAAAUGUUUUUCCCGAGGACUCCAUGCUUGAUGAUAGCCUUCCUCGGGAUCAAGCAAUAAACAGUUUGCUAUUAUCUCAUGGGGCCAUCCCUUAGUAGACUUCGCCAAGAGGGUUUGGUGGUUCUCUUCGGAACCGGGGAACGUUCUGAGGGUUCGGUGGUUGUUCUCCCUGGAACACGGGUAUGUUCUGAGGGGGCAGAGGUUGACGUCUGGGAGCCAAGUAGCUGUUCGUUCCGCAACUGCUUUGAUAUGAGGUGCCAACCCUUUCAUGUGCUUCAUGGACUCCUGAGUCUGUCAGCUGCAGCUGCUAUGGCGCCUUGAAUUUCCCCUUCCUCUUUCUCCCAUUUGAAUUCCUUUUUUAAUCUUGCGACCCUUUCCUGUAGCUCCAGCUUUUUCGCUUUGUAUUUGUGCUUCCAUUUCCAGCCCUUCCCUUUGGAUUUGUGCUUCCCUUCCCUGCCUUUCGCUUUGUAUUUUAAUAUCAUGUGUAAGUGAACAUUAACUAAAACGGUCAGUUGGGUGUAGUGAUGCAGGAAUCACAAUAUCUCACUUUUGGUAGGAGAUGUGCUUGGGCAAACAAAGCCGACUGCUUCAGCACAUUUGCAUCAUGAGCACACCCUGGCAUCAUGCAGUUAAUGUUCCAAAACCUACAAGAAAUAUUAUAAACACAUGGCAAACACUAAUGACAUUUUACAGAUUAACCACAUCAGAAGCACGUUUGGGGAAUGUGGUGUUUCUGCUCGAACCGGUGUGCUAUAGCACAGGCCUCCUCUGCGGUGGGUGCCUUGAUAAGGUCACGCAUAACCGGGGAAACCAUUCCCUUGCAGAACGUGUAGAAAAAAAAAUUCUUGACGGUGGACUUAUGAACACCAAACUGGUUAGCGAUGACCCUAUAUUCUGCGCAACUGGCGAGCUUGUACAGUAAAAUGGUGACCCUCAUCUGCAACAGAAUUGGCGCUCUUACAGUCUCUUCCUGGGGUUUCAAAACUCAUUCCAUCAUCCCGCAUAUCUUGUCAGAAAAUUAUUUUAAAACCACCCUCUCCCACCAGCCUUUGCUCCUGACCCACAUCCAGCAUGUCCGAGAGGCCCGUGGUAGUAGCGAUGGAACAAGGUGGAGCUACGAAGUAGAGAUCUCGUUAAAGUUUGCAAAACCAGACAGCGUCUUCUACUACCUUCUAACAUCACCAUUAAAAAUGACAGAUAGGGUACAUCUUGCCUGUACGAGGCAUAGAGAAUGUAAGAAUUGUACAGUGCUGAAAAGUCAUCCAUGUUCUCCCCGCUUUCCAACCUAUUGUUGUGAUUUUGACAAAGUUCAACCGGAAGAAAAGCCUUAUUCCGACCAGUUGUACGUUGGCAGAGCGCAACCUACUGUACCGGAGGGUAAGACCAUACCCCGGUUACUGCUGUGCUGAGUGAGAGCAAGGAAGUCCAGGGACAGCGGGGAUACGUAGCCAGAGAUGAACUCGGCCUUGCGGGUGGCAGACUGGCAGUGCCACAGUCCCCCUGUGACAAGGUGCUAGAAGGUAGAUAAGAUUAUGGUGCUGUAGUGAACAGGUACAUGGUCUAAAGUAUCUAUGAGGAGAGUAGCAUGCAGGAAUGGAAAAUACACACAUGAUACAUGAAAGAAAAGUCAAAAUCAAAAGAAACUUCGCUCCCACUUGUCCUCCCACGAGGAGGCUUCAUCUGCCACUUAAGCUGCCGCUUCAAACAAAUGCUGGCUUUUCUGCACAAGUUCUUACCACUCCCCCAAAAUUAGUUAGGUAUUCAAAACACCUGGUGAGAAAGUAAUUGAAACUAUAUCUACUGAGAGACAGCUGAACUGCAACAGUUUUCCACCUUAGUCAGUGGGGAUAGAUUUCUAAAAUGGAUCUAAAGCAACAAUAAACUUUACUUAGAUUAAAUCAACAAGGACAAUUUGUUGAACCUAAAACAGGCAAAGCACUGUAAAGCAGGGAAAUGCCAGUUUCAGAAACUAGAUAAACUCAAUCACAGCAGAACACAGACCUUUUACAUACACAAAAAAAAAUCAAUUUUCUCUAUCUACAUGUGUUUUGUCUAUUUGCAUGUGUUUUCUUAGGCUGCGGUGCAUUCAGCCUCCAGGUUCACCACAGGAAACAGUUAUGAGUGAGCGAGCUCUGUGUGAGUAUGUUGAGGAGUCAAGAUACAGGAAUUUUAAUUAUUUUUGCAGUGGUGCAACUUCCUCCUCAUAGUAAAAUAUCAACUCUGGAUCCUUGUUGUCAGGUUGAAUCCUGCAGCUCACACUUCUGACAUGCUUUGCGGCACAAAUCACAUCACAUUUAAACCGUAAGCCAUAUUACUCUAGGGUUUAUAGGCUUGUAGGAAUACUAGAUACUUCCAGAAAUGUUUAUCUACAAGGCAAUAAAGGCUGACAUAUACAGUGGCUGCUUAUCUGUCGCACCUGUUUUAUGUUAAAUAUGACCUUGGUUUCAGUUAGGAGGCAACGGGUGGGUUCUUCCAUACUGUUCAAUAGGGAUCCCAUGCACUGAGAGAUAAGGACCAUGUACUAGCAUAUAUCCAUACUGUUAUAUAUAAGUACAAAAAAAAAUGGUGUGGGCUGAUGUUUCUUGCAUUGAUGUGUUUCUUGCAGUAAUGGGGUCUCUGCAGAAUUAUAGGCUGAAAACAUAAGGUUUUUAAAAUGAGACAACCAUUAUCUCCUAAAGAUAGUGCCUGCUCAUACAAAAUUAUGUUCGUAUCAAAGUAACCACCACCAACAACAAAUAAAUAACACCACAGUGUGGCCUUUUCGUGAUACUGCCCUGUUUCAUAUCAAUGUAAUGUGAGAGGAAACUGCAAUGUAUUAAUUUCCAGUGAAGUCAGGCAUGGCAACAGUCUCAAUGUCUGCCCGCGGGAAAUUACAAACUUAAUGAAAGGGAAAUAAUAAGCCAUUUAAAAAAAACUACUAUUGUAAAAUCUCCGUCCACACUAGCCAUGUCUCAUCCCACUCAUCACUUAUGAAUUUAAUAAUUAAACUUUUCUGACUUGCCACACUGAUGGAUUCCUGCACUUCUCUGCUUCUGCUGACACUCAACAUUAAUGAUGUCAAGUGAGAAAUAUGGAGCCAGUUGAAAUUUCUUUUGAAUCAGCACACCUCUGCUACACUGACAUGUAAUGCAUAUGGCAGGGAUCACUAAUAGUCGGACCGCUGUUCGGAUCCGGACCCAGAUUUCGUCCUAUCUGGGCCAGGACCCACAACUGAUACAUCAUUGAGAAUUAGCAAAUGUUGACGAGCCGUUUCCAUUUUACUGGUGGAGUGUUAGCCGUCACUACACUGGUGUUGAUCUUUUCCUGCUUGGCAUCCAGCAUAGUCGUGAAGCAGGGGACAAGUUUCACUUUUUUCAGAGCUAAAGCGCUGUCUCGCUCCGGGACCAACCCCCUUACUCUCCGUAACAGCGUGACUUCUCUUUAAACUUGAAGGCGCUGACAGAUCGCAAUUUCACUUCUGCAGCCAACUCUCCCUGUCGCUCGUUGUUUUGUUGUGCAUGUGUAGCAGUGGUUCAGAUAGUCAAGUGCUGUGCUGUACAGUGUGAGUAGACCUAACUCGCGGACACGUUGACAGCCUUGCUAGCGGCUAAUGCUAGCCCUCACAAGUUUGAGCUCCCUUGGCAGUGUGCCUUUCUCCCAUGCCAGUGGUUACGGGUUCGAAGCCACCCUGUGACACUUGAUUGAGUGAUCCCCCCUCUGCUUUUUUCCCAAAUUGCACCCUGCACACACUCACUGAUGUUGAAAGAAUAUUAUUAUUUCCGUGUCCUGUUUUCUCCACCCGUGUUUUGUGUUCUGAGACAGCUAAAAUGCUCAUUUUUAAAGCUGUAUGUUUUGUUUUAUUUUACUUUAAGCGAGAAGAGAACAUUAUUAGAGUACUUGUUAUUAAUAAUUCCUCCAGUUCAAUAUGAAAAUUGGAAAUUAACAUUGUUGAAAUGUUAUUGAAACGCAGGCCUUUUUCUUUAUUAAAUUUGACAGUCAGUUGUUGAUAAUUAGGCACCCAGCAUACCUUAAUAUGGCACUGAAUCAUAACGCAAGUUAUACAUUAUGACAUUAUGGUUCUGGACCUUUGCUUGAGGUAAAUUUCUCCAACUGGACCUCCCUGAAUUUGAAUUGAAUACCCCUGGCAUAUGGUGUAGGAAGAAGACAUGUGGUUUACUGGCAGCUCCUUGUAGCAUUUGUGGACAUUUCUAUCUCCUCAGUUAAAGUAAAAAAUAUAUGAUACUAUGAUGUAAACAUCCAGUUCUGAAAACAUAAUUCCACUGUAGAAGGGGGAUCAGCAACAAGUCAAGUCAGUUUUAUUGAUAUAGCAUAAAAUCACAAAUUCACCUUGAAAUAUAGAACCUCUAUUGUUAUUCACCUUCGAUACAGAACCCGUACGGUUUCUAAUAGUGGUCAAAAAGAUUUUGUUCAGAGACCGGGACACUUACCCAUCAGUUUUGGUCCUGCCCUAAAUUAGACUCUUUCUGGCACCUUGUAUUCGACUAUAUAACUGAAGCAUUCAAUAGAACUAUAGCUCCAGACCCGCUUCUGGCCAUCUUUGGUUCAGUAGUUAAAAAUCGAUCUAUUGAAAAGUACCUAGGGCAAGCAAUUCCCUAUGCACAUUGCUGGCAAAAACGCUUUAUUUUACAAGGCUGGAUAUCCAAUGCUAGUCCUUCGUUUCAGCAAUGGCUCAGAGACCUGGGAAAUAAACUACAAAUGGAGAGAUUGGGAUGCAAGAUGGCAAACAAGCAUACUACUUUUUUGAAAAUUUGGCAACCCCUCCUUGAUAAAUGGUUGACUACCUCCAAUUUUAAAGUCUGAAAGUAGUCUUUAUUUUCCAACAGUAUGGUGCAGUGCAGUGUACUAUCUCUUCCAGCCGGUCCACCUUCAUUUUAGAGUUUCUCUUGGUAUCGUUUAACCCUGCAUGAGGAGCUGAAAGAUGAGUCUUGUAACCUGGGCUCACUUCGGUAUCCCAGAGGGAUUGUGUGGCAUUACUUUCUCCCUGUCACUGCUCUGUGAGGGUCAGAUCUCAAUGGUUAACUUCACCCAGGAGGUCCCCCAGCUCCUGCCAGACACAUUCAAGCAAUGGACAGUAAAGUAGGGGACAGUAAAGGAUCAAUAAAGUACAUCUAUCUAUCUAUCUAUCUAUCUAUCCAUCUUUUGAAUUUUAAUAAUACAAGUGUUGUUGUCAUUGCUUGUUGAAACGUAAAUAAGUCGCUUGAAAUAAUUCUCAUUCAACCUCAAAUAUAGAGUUGUGUGUGGAUGUAAAAGUCUGAAAAAAGGUGCAUAUAGUCUAUGUCGUCAUGCAUUACAGUAAGUGUCUUGGGUAUCACAUGGAUCAAGAGUAAGAGUAUGUGCACUGUCAGCUUGUAUGACCGAAGCAGUUGUCGAAUGUAGUCUGAGGGAACAGGGUGCCAAUAGCAACACAAAAGGUGGGGAGGAGAAUUGUUAUAGGGUCAGAGGUCAGGGGCCGCAGCAAAAAAAUACGAGGUCCUGACACUGUGUAGAAAACCUUUAUUGCCCAUUUAUACAGACGGGUGCAGCAGUUGUGACUGUGUGUGGUUUGUAACAGCAACUCCUCUGCCUUUAUUUUCCCUUCAGCUAGAUAACACGUACAGUAUAAAUAAAGCUUCUCAUGCAGCUCUCACCAUUCACCAUUUUCUCUCUCUAACUGCAUUGCUACAGUUUUCAUUACCCUGUUCACCAGCUUAGCCAGAAGCAGGGUACUGUUUUUGCCCCUCCAAAAUAACUCAACAAGGCAUGGACACAUUUUCACCAUACAUGGUGAGAAUAUUACUUGGUGAUCAGUAGGGCUGGGAUGAUAUGCUUUUGUCCUGAUUUGAUUGUAUCAUGGGACUUGGGUGCCGCUUCGAUUUGUAUUGCGAUUCUGAUUUAUUGUGAUUCUACAAGUAUUGCGAUUCAAUAAAAUAGAUUUUUGCAAUUUUA